rnacentral:rRNA from 1 species
GAUGAACGCUGGCGGCGUGCCUAAUACAUGCAAGUCGAGCGAACAGACGAGGAGCUUGCUCCUCUGACGUUAGCGGCGGACGGGUGAGUAACACGUGGAUAACCUACCUAUAAGACUGGGAUAACUUCGGGAAACCGGAGCUAAUACCGGAUAAUAUAUUGAACCGCAUGGUUCAAUAGUGAAAGACGGUUUUGCUGUCACUUAUAGAUGGAUCCGCGCCGCAUAGCUAGUUGGUAAGGUAACGGCUUACCAAGGCAACGAUGCGUAGCCGACCUGAGAGGGUGAUCGGCCACACUGGAACUGAGACACGGUCCCGACUCCUACGGGAGGCAGCAGUAGGGAAUCUUCCGCAAUGGGCGAAAGCCUGACGGAGCAACGCCGCGUGAGUGAUGAAGGUCUUCGGAUCGUAAAACUCUGUUAUUAGGGAAGAACAAAUGUGUAAGUAACUAUGCACGUCUUGACGGUACCUAAUCAGAAAGCCACGGCUAACUACGUG